ACCAGGGCUGGGGGGGGAAAGCAGGCGAGGGUGGGUUCCAGUACCAGUCGCUGCAGAUCUCACUCCAGCUCGUCCUGUUCAGUAGCACUUGCGAGUAGUUUGUUACAGCGUGGGGCAGGCUGGAACCAAAACACAACAGGUGAGACCCGGCAGACAGGUUGCUCCUACCUCUGGGAUUCGCCCCUGCUGCUCUGCCCGGCGGGGCUGCAGAGAAGCGGCCCGGCAGGGAAGCAGCCCGGGCCACCGGCAGUCCAGACCCGAGAGGGGGAUCCGAGGAGCCCAGCCGCCCCCGAGCUCAGCCGCAUUUCAGACAAGUUGCGAACACCCUGUAGAAAAGUUCCCAAGCGCCGCCGCCGCCGCGUUCCCGGCUGCAGCUUCGCGAGCGGCGACUCCGCUGCCCCCUCCCCGAGAGAGGCUGGUCCCCCAAGCGGAGCUCUCACGGCCAGAGCCGCCCGCCUCAGGUGGGAGAGCACCAGCCAAGGGCGGGGGAAGAGGCCGCCGCCGCCCCCAGGAAACGCCUCUCAGGGCGAGUCCCAGCGCGGGCUGGCGGGACUGGUGCCUGCUCCCGGCCAGGGCAGGUCCGGGGCGCGCCUACCCGCCCUCCCAGAGCAGCGGCACGUCCGGGACAGGUCUAGAGGAGCGAGCAGCGCCCCCUCUCCCUACCUGGGCCAGCUCCCAGCGGGCUGCAGCCCAAGCCCCCGGCAAAGUUCCCGGCUCCGGCAAAGUUCCCGCAGGCAGGGGGGCUGCUCGGCUUUGGGGCGCACUGCGGCGAGCCCCCCCCCCGGGGGGAAGGAGAGGAGUGGGAGCCACUUACCGGAGACACCAGGGGCGCCCAGCCCUGGGAAAACAGCCCCCCUCCCCCGGGAGCCGGGCGGCAGCUGGGCCAGAGUGGGCUGGGCAUUGUCCUCCCUCCCCGGAGCGUCCUUCGGGCGGGGGAGUGCAGCUGCCGUCGGCUCAGACUCCUCCUUCCCUCGCCAUGUUCUUUGUGUAUGUCGCUUUUCUUUGGCCAUUUCCCCUGACAGCGGCGGGCCCGGCAGCUCCAGCUCCCCCCAGCAGAGCCCCCAGUAG
rnacentral:lncRNA from 1 species